rnacentral:rRNA from 1 species
UACGGAGGGUGCGAGCGUUGUUCGGAAUCACUGGGCGUAAAGCGCGCGCAGGCGGGCGUGUAAGUCAGAAGUGAAAUUCCGGGGCUCAACCCCGGAGCUGCUCCUGAUACUGCACGUCUGGAGACCGGUAGAGGCUGGUGGAAUUCCCGGUGUAGCGGUGAAAUGCGCAGAUAUCGGGAGGAACACCAGUAGCGAAGGCGGCUCGCUGGGCCACACCUGACGCUGAGACGCGAAAGCUAGGGGAGCGAACAGG